rnacentral:piRNA from 1 species
UUCCCUGGCAGCUGAUAGCAAUAAUGGUC